UUCUAGGACCCAAAGUAAUGAUUGAUAGAGAUAGUUGGGGGGUGCUUGUAUUGAACGGCCAGAGGCGAAAUUCUUGGAUUCGUUCAAGGCAAACUAAUGCGAAAGCAUUCACCAAGGAUGUCUUCCUUAAUCAAGAACGAAAGUUGGGGGAUCGAAGACGAUUAGAUACCGUCGUAGUCUCAACCAUAAACUAUGCCAACUGAGGAUUGGUGAGCAUCGAUUCGAUCUCAUCAGGACUCUACGAGAAAUCAAAGUGUUUGGGUUCUGGGGGGAGUCUGGUCGCAAGGCUGAAACUUAAAGGAAUUGACGGAAGGGCACACCAGGAGUGGAGCCUGCGGCUUAAUUUGACUCAACACUGGAAAACUUACCAGGUCCGGAGACGCGAAGGAUUGACAGAUUGCAGAUCUUUCUUGAUUGCGUCGGUGGUGGUGCAUGGUCGUUCUUAGUUGGUGGAGUGAUUUGUCUGGUUAAUUCCGUUAACGAACGAGACCUCAGCCUGCUAAAUAGUCAGAUGUACGCUUCGGUGUACAGUUGCUGACUUCUUAGAGGGACUGUCGGUUUCUAGCCGAAGGAAGCGUGAGGCAAUAACAGGUCUGUGAUGCCCUUAGAUGUUCUGGGCUGCACGCGCGCUACACUGUUGGAUUCAAUGAGUAUCACCCUUGAUCGAAAGGUCUGGGUAAUCUUUGUAUUUACCGAUGUGA
rnacentral:rRNA from 1 species